AACAAACGCUGGCGGCGUGCCUAAUACAUGCAAGUCGAACGGGGAAAGUAGCAAUACGAGUACUAGUGGCGCACGGGUGAGGAAUACAUGGGUAAUCUGCCCUCGAGCUCGGGAUAACCAGUCGAAAGACUGGCUAAUACCGGAUAUGACCACAAGAUCUGAGGAUCAAGGGGUAAAAGGUUUUUCGCUUGAGGAUGAGCCCAUGUGGGAUUAGCUAGUUGGUGUAGGUAACGGCUCACCAAGGCGACGAUCCCUAACUGGUCUUAGAGGAUGAUCAGUCACACUGGAACUGAGACACGGUCCAGACUCCUACGGGAGGCAGCAGUAGGGAAUAUUGCACAAUGGAGGAAACUCUGAUGCAGCGACGCCGCGUGAGUGAUGAAGGCCUU
rnacentral:rRNA from 1 species